CCUACGGGGUGCUGCAGUGGGGAAUAUUGGACAAUGGGCGAAAGCCUGAUCCAGCCAUGCCGCGUGUGUGAAGAAGGCCUUCGGGUUGUAAAGCACUUUCAGUGGGGAAGAAAGCCUUGGGGCUAAUACCCUCGAGGAAGGACAUCACCCACAGAAGAAGCACCGGCUAACUCCGUGCCAGCAGCCGCGGUAAUACGGAGGGUGCGAGCGUUAAUCGGAAUUACUGGGCGUAAAGCGCGCGUAGGCGGUCUGAUAAGCCGGUUGUGAAAGCCCCGGGCUCAACCUGGGAACGGCAUCCGGAACUGUCAGGCUAGAGUGCAGGAGAGGAAGGUAGAAUUCCCGGUGUAGCGGUGAAAUGCGAAGAGAUCGGGAGGAAUACCAGUGGCGAAGGCGGCCUUCUGGACUGACACUGACGCUGAGGUGCGAAAGCGUGGGUAGCAAACAGGAUUAGAUACCCCUGUAGUC
rnacentral:rRNA from 1 species